rfam:Cupriavidus basilensis strain 4G11 chromosome secondary, complete sequence.
CUAUACUCCGCUCGUCGCUGCAACCACAGCGGCCGGGUUUAGCAGCCCGUUUA